UCUCCCUGAAACAGACGGUUAACCUUAGUACAAAAAGCAUCCUUGGACAGAGCCCAAAUACGUUCGUGGAAACGAUGAUAGAAGUCAACCAGCUCGGUGAGUUACCGACAAUGAUAAUAACAAAUCAAGUGAAACCAAAAAAAAAAAAAAAGAAAAAAGAAAAGAAAAGAAAGAAAACAAAACAAAAAAAGAAUAAACAAAAAAAAAAAGAAAAAGUAAAUAAUAAAAACGAAAGGAAAGAAAAACUUGGAACAAAUGGCUCCGAAACGUGAAUAGAAAUCGUCCUACCUUCGACUAUAACGCGUCUCGUCUUCCAUUUCGGAGUCUUCGAUUCUACGCCUCUACGAGAAAUUAUACCUACAAAGGGGUGCAGAAAAAAUGCGAGAACACAAGGAAAAAAAAAAGAAGAAGAAGAAGAAGAAGAAGAAAGAAGAAGAAGAAGAAGAAGAAGAAGAAAGAAGAGUAAGAGAUCACGGAGACGUGUGUUCGGUGAGGUGAAAGGUUUAAGGUAAGACGGAAUAAAAUUUAAUGGAGUUCGCCAUAUUUGUUAAUGUAGGAAGGAUCAUUGAUCCGUCAAUACUUGUUCAGUAUGAUCGAGGUUGGAUAGAAAUGUGAAAAUUUUGUUGGUAAGAAAAAGCAAGGUUAAAUAA